GGAUAACCUGCCCUUGGGACCGGCAUAACCCCGGGAAACUGGGGAUAAUUCCGGAUAACGCAUAUGUGCUGGAAUGCUUUAUGCGUAAAAUGGAUUCGUCUGCCCAAGGAUGGGUCUGCGGCCUAUCAGGUAGUAGUGGGUGUAAUGUACCUACUAGCCAGCGACGGGUACGGGUUGUGAGAGCAAGAGCCCGGAGAUGGAUUCUGAGACAUGAAUCCAGGCCCUACGGGGCGCAGCAGGCGCGAAAACUUUACAAUGCGGGAAACCGUGAUAAGGGGACACCGAGUGCCAGCAUCAUAUGCUGGCUGUCCAGGUGUGUAAAAUACACCUGUUAGCAAGGGCCGGGCAAGACCGGUGCCAGCCGCCGCGGUAACACCGGCGGCCCGAGUGGUGAUCGUGAUUAUUGGGUCUAAAGGGUCCGUAGCCGGUUUGGUCAGUCCUCCGGGAAAUCUGAUAGCUUAACUAUUAGGCUUUCGGGGGAUACUGCCAGACUUGGAACCGGGAGAGGUAAGAGGUACUACAGGGGUAGGAGUGAAAUCUUGUAAUCCCUGUGGGACCACCUGUGGCGAAGGCGUCUUACCAGAACGGGUUCGACGGUGAGGGACGAAAGCUAGGGGCACGAACCGGAUUAGAUACCCGGGUAGUCCUAGCCGUAAACGAUGCUCGCUAGGUGUCAGUCACGGUGCGACCGUGAUUGGUGCCGUAGGGAAGCCGUGAAGCGAGCCACCUGGGAAGUAUGGCCGCAAGGCUGAAACUUAA
rnacentral:rRNA from 1 species